rnacentral:rRNA from 1 species
GAUGAACGCUAGCGGCAGGCCUAAUACAUGCAAGUCGGACGGUGUCUUCGGACAUAGUGGCGCACGGGUGCGUAACACGUAUGCAACCUACCUUACAUUGGGGGAUAGCCUUUCGAAAGGGAGAUUAAUACCGCAUAAGACAGUAGCUGGGCAUCCAGCAGCUGUUAAAGAUUUAUCGAUGUAAGCUGGGCAUGCGUCCAAUUAGCUAGUUGGUGAGGUAACGGCUCACCAAGGCAAUGAUUGGUAGGGGAACUGAGAGGUCAAUCCCCCACACUGGCACUGAGAUACGGGCCAGACUCCUACCGGAGGCAGCAGUAGGGAAUAUUGGGCAAUGGACGCAAGUCUGACCCAGCCAUGCCGCGUGCAGGAUGAAGGCGUUAUGCGUUGUAAACUGCUUUAUACAGGAAGAAACGACUCUUGCGAGAGGCAUUGACGGUACUGUAUGAAUAAGCACCGGCUAACUCCGUGCCAGCAGCCGCAGUAACAC